rnacentral:misc_RNA from 1 species
GUACCUUCAAGCUCUGCUUGGUGUUGGGUGUUUGUCUCGCCUUUGCGUGUAGACUCGCCUCAAAACGAUUGGCAGCCGGCGUAUUGGUUUCGGAGCGCAGUACAUCUCGCGCUUUGCACUCAUAACGACGACGUCCAAAAAGUACAUUUUACAC